ensembl:rRNA 5S_rRNA 5S ribosomal RNA
CUCUGAGGUCAUACCGUGGACUUUACACAUAUGGGAUCCACUUAGGUCUCUACAUAUGAAGCUAAGCAGGGCUGAGCCUGGUCAGUACCUGGAUGGGAGACCUCCUGGGAAAACUAGGUUGCUGCUGGAA